GUAGAGAUCUGGAGGAAUACCGGUGGNGAAGGCGGCCCCCUGGACAAAGACUGACGCUCAGGUGCGAAAGCGUGGGGAGCAAACAGGAUUAGAUACCNNGGUAGUCCACGCUGUAAACGAUGUCGACUUGGAGGUUGUGCCCUUGAGGCGUGGCUUCCGGAGCUAACGCGUUAAGUCGACCGCCUGGGGAGUACGGCCGCAAGGUUAAAACUCAAAUGAAUUGACGGGGGCCCGCACAAGCGGUGGAGCAUGUGGUUUAAUUCGAUGCAACGCGAAGAACCUUACCUACUCUUGACAUCCACGGAACUUGCCAGAAAUGGCUUGGUGCCUUCGGGAACCGUGAGACAGGUGCUGCAUGGCUGUCGUCAGCUCGUGUUGUGAAAUGUUGGGUUAAGUCCCGCAACGAGCGCAACCCUUAUCCUUUGUUGCCAGCACUUCGGGUGGGAACUCAAAGGAGACUGCCGGUGAUAAACCGGAGGAAGGUGGGGAUGACGUCAAGUCAUCAUGGCCCUUACGAGUAGGGCUACACACGUGCUACAAUGGCGUAUACAAAGAGAAGCAAACUCGCGAGAGCCAGCGGACCUCAUAAAGUACGUCGUAGUCCGGAUUGGAGUCUGCAACUCGACUCCAUGAAGUCGGAAUCGCUAGUAAUCGUAGAUCAGAAUGCUACGGUGAAUACGUUCCCGGGCCUUGUACACACCGCCCGUCACACCAUGGGAGUGGGUUGCAAAAGAAGUAGGUAGCUUAACCUUCGGGAGGGCGCUUACCACUUUGUGAUUCAUGACUGGGGUG
rnacentral:rRNA from 1 species